UAAUACCAGCAGUUCAAGUCGCAUCCCUUUUUAUUGGGUCUAAAACAUCCGUAGCGUGCCGUAUAAGUCCCUUGUGAAAUCUCGUGUCUCAAGCACGAGGCUGGCAAGAGAUACUGUACGGCUAGAGAUCGGUAGACGUAAGAGGUACGCCGGAGGUAACGGUAAAAUGUGUUAAUCUUUGGUGGACCAACAAUGAGCGAAGGCAUCUUACGAGGACGAAUCUGACAGUCAGGGAUGAAGGCCAGGGGCGCAAAACGGAUUAGAUACCCGUGUAGUCCUGGCAGUAAACACUGUUCACUAAACAUCGGGCCCUCUUCGGGAGGAUUCGGUGCUGAAGCGAAGGCGAAGAGUGAACUACCUGGGAAGUAUAGUCGCAAGAUCG
rnacentral:rRNA from 1 species